rnacentral:rRNA from 1 species
AGGGCGUAUGGUGAAUGCCUUGGUAUCAACAGCCGAUGAAGGACGUGGCAAGACUGCGAUAAGCCUCGCAAAGCUGUCUAGCAAGCUUAAGCGGGGAUUUCCGAAUGGGGAAACCCAGUUCAUGUAAUGAUGAACUACAUUCAACUGAACACAUAGGUUGAAAUGAGGUAAGUGCGGGAACUGAAACAUCUAAGUACCGCGAGGAAAAGAGAUUAUUCCCUUAGUAGCGGCGAGCGAAAAGGGAUCAGCUCAAACCGUUUCUUUAUGAAGCGGUGUUGUAGGACCAGUUGCACGGAGUUACAAAUUAGUUAGAUAGAUGAAUAUUCUGGAAAGAAUAGCCACAGAAGGUGAAAGCCCUGUAAUUGAAAUUUAACUAACUCCAACUGAGUUCCUGAGUAGCAUGGGUUAAGUGAAAUCCUGUGUGAAUCUAGGGAGACCACUCUCUAAAGCUAAAUACUGUUGAUGACCGAUAGUGGACAAGUACCGUGAGGGAAAGGUGAAAAGUACCCCGGAAGGGGAGUGAAAUAGUUUCUGAAACCAUAUGCUUACAAGCAGUCGAAGCUCAAUUUAUUGAGUGACGGCGUGCCUAUUGAAGAAUGAUCCGGCGAGUUACGAUUAAUGGCAAGGUUAAGCGAUGAAGAUCGUGGAGCCAAAGCGAAAGCAAGUCUGAAUAGGGCGUUGAGUCGUUAGUUGUAGACCCGAAACCUAGUGAGCUACCCAUGUGCAGGGUGAAGCGAGGGUAAAACCUCGUGAAGGCCCGAACCUUCUAGCGUUGCAAAGCUAUUGGAUGACGUGUGGGUAGAGGUGAAAUGCUAAUCGAACUAGGAGAUAGCUGGUUCUCCCCGAAAUGCGUUUAGGCGCAGCCUCAAGUGUUCUGUAAUGGAGGUAGAGCUCUGGUUGGACUAGGGGGCAUAACGCUUACCAAAUCCAUCCAAACUGCGAAUGCCAUUACACUAGAACUUGGGAGUGAGACUACGAGGGCUAAGCUUCGUGGUCGAAAGGGAAACAGCCCAGAUCUUCAGCUAAGGUCCCUAAAUCCAUGCUAAGUGGGAAAGGAUGUUUGAUCGCUCAGACAGCCAGGAUGUUGGCUUAGAAGCAGCCACCAUUUAAAGAGUGCGUAAUAGCUCACUGGUCAAGUAGUUGAGCGCCGACAAUGUAACGGGGCUUAAGCAUGGUACCGAAGCUAAGACAUUUUGUUUACAAAAUGGGUAGGGGAGCGUUCUGUUUUCACUGAAGUCAGAGAAGUGAUUCCUGGUGGAGGAAACAGAAGUGAGAAUGCCGGAAUGAGUAGCGUAAUCCAGGUGAAAAACCUGGACGCCGAAAGCCCGAGGUUUCCUACGUAAAGUUAAUCUGCGUAGGGUUAGGCGGGCCUAAGUCGAGGUCGAAAGACGUAGACGAUGGACAGCAGGUUAGUAUUCCUGCCCCACCAAAGGCGUGUUAUGCAAAGGGAUGACCCAGGAGGAUAGGUGUAUCGAACCAAUGGACAUGGUUCGUUCUUUAAUCGUAGGCGUCUGAGAGCAGGCAAAUCCACUCUCAGGUUAAGCGGAGGAUUAGAGAGAAGUGGAGACGUCAGUCAAAGCGACUAUGCUGAAUCCAUGCUGGCUAGAAAAGUCUCGUUGUUAGUGCUUUUGGUGUCCGUACCGUAAACCGACACUGGUGGGCGACGAUAAGUAUCGUAAGGCGAUCGAGAGAACCUUCGUUAAGGAACUCGGCAAAUUAGCUCCGUAACUUAGGGAUAAGGAGCGCCUUUAAUGGUGAUCAAACUUGCUUUGUGAGCUAUUGAAGGUCGCAGUGAGCAGGCUCAGGCGACUGUUUAACAAAAACACAGGUCUCUGCUAACCAGAAAUGGGAUGUAUAGGGGCUGACGCCUGCCCAGUGCCGGAAGAUUAAGGGGAUUGCUUAACGGCUUGAACUUAAGUCCCGGUGAACGGCGGCCGUAACUAUAACGGUCCUAAGGUAGCGAAAUUCCUUGUCGGGUAAGUUCCGACCCGCACGAAUGGCGUAACGAUCUGAGCACUGUCUCGACGAAGGACUCGGCGAAAUUGCAUUGUGCGUGAAGAUGCGCACUACCUGCAGCUGGACAAAAAGACCCCGUGGAGCUUUACUGCAACUUGGCGUUGGAGGCUGGUCGUUGAUGCGUAGGAUAGGUGGGAGGCUUUGAUUUAAUGGUUUCGGUCAUUAAUGAGCCGUUGGUGAAAUACCACUCUUCUGCGUUUAUCCUCCUAACUUGUGUGCAAGCAUGAGAACAGCGUCUGGUGGGCAGUUUGACUGGGGCGGUCGCCUCCUAAAGAGUAACGGAGGCGUGCAAAGGUUCCCUCAAGGUGGAUGGCAAUCACCUUUUGAGCAUAUUGGUAUAUGGGAGCUUGACUGCGAGACAGACACGUCGAGCAGGGACGAAAGUCGGC